rnacentral:lncRNA from 1 species
AAGCACAAAUUAUUGUAAACCAGAAGUUUACAUAUCAUAUUAAAUUUAUUGUUGGCAAUACCGGUUGGGUCAUCACGGAUUUAUUAUGAUGCGAAAAAAAAUACUAUAAAUAUAUAUUGAAGGGCCCGAAGUUCCUUCAUUCUAGUAAUUUUUAUCGGUUACUAAUUCCCAAAAGAAAUUUAUAAUUUGAGAUUUUUGACCAUUUAGAUAUUUUGUGACUUGAAUUGAUGCACCAACUAAAUUGGUCACAUACAUGUUUAC